GAUGAACGCUGGCGGCGUGCCUAAUACAUGCAAGUCGAGCGAACAGACGAGGAGCUUGCUCCUCUGACGUUAGCGGCGGACGGGUGAGUAACACGUGGAUAACCUACCUAUAAGACUGGGAUAACUUCGGGAAACCGGAGCUAAUACCGGAUAAUAUAUUGAACCGCAUGGUUCAAUAGUGAAAGACGGUUUUGCUGUCACUUAUAGAUGGAUCCGCGCCGCAUUAGCUAGUUGGUAAGGUAACGGCUUACCAAGGCAACGAUGCGUAGCCGACCUGAGAGGGUGAUCGGCCACACUGGAACUGAGACACGGUCCAGACUCCUACGGGAGGCAGCAGUAGGGAAUCUUCCGCAAUGGGCGAAAGCCUGACGGAGCAACGCCGCGUGAGUGAUGAAGGUCUUCGGAUCGUAAAACUCUGUUAUUAGGGAAGAAAAACUGUGUAAGUAACUCCGGACGUCUUGACGGUACCUAAUGAGAAAGCCACGGCUAACUACGUG
rnacentral:rRNA from 1 species